UUGGCAAUGUUGACAUUGUUCAUAAAUAUGAAUCAUCAUGCAUUUAAGAUUCGUUUAUUGCACUAUUGAACCUAUUUCAAGCUUUUACACUAUUGGCCACCUUUAUAAUGAUAAUCAUUGUUGAUAUCAUCCCAAAUCACAAAAUCAUACAAAUAAUAAUGAGAAUCUGGAUUUAAUCUAAGAGUGACAGUUGCAGGAAAGCAUAUUAUCAGUGAAUACUCGUGCUACAUCUGCAAAUUCCCUCUCAUUAAUGCUUUCUUUUUAAUUUACUACUUGAAAACUGAUAAAUUUAUCAUACGCGGAAAUACCACUGUUGUUUCGAUCACAUCCUUCAGUUAACCAGCUUUAAUGAACAAAUUGGACAGGCCUUUUGCUAAAGAUUUAACUAACAGUGGCCAAAUCUAUCACCUCUUGUAACAAGCUAUGAUUUAUUGCAAAGCCAUAGCUUGUUUACGGCUAAACAAAGGAACAUGAAUAACACUUGAUCAUAAACUUUAACACCUUAGCAUAUUUGGAGGUUCAUUUAGAAUUAGCAGGGUAAAUUGAAGCACAAGAGUACAUAAGAUACUUGAUUAAACAUGGAUCAACUUAUGAUAAUUCAAUUUAGGGAUAUAAAUUCGAUCAAUCUCAUAUGUGAUGCUUCCAAAUAUACAAGCAAAUUCAUUGUCUUAUACUAAACAGUUCAUCAAGAAAUGAAAGUCACAUGAGAGUAACAAUAGAUCUGGAUUUCAUAAAAGAGAAGAGACACUAAACUUAAUUAUUCUAGCACACAAAGAGAAAUAAGUUCACAAGUGUGUACCUAAUACUCAAAAAUGAAAUGUAGAAUAGCCAAAUAAAAGCGAAUGAAGCUCAGCUAUUGAUUUCAGCAUGGAGCAACAAAGCAGUAGUGAUCUCACACCUCCAUAGCUCUUAAGAACCCAGAAAGUAAAUGACAUCUUCACAUGAUUCACCCUUUUUUUGAAAUUUUCUUUUUAGAUCUCCAUUGAGAGUUUAGAAUUUUAAAAUUCUACUUUUCAGACGCUUUUCUAAAUUUUCAGCUGAUAGAUGAAUGACUGUGGGCGCGUGUGAAUUUUUAGAGAUGUGUAUAUGUGAGUGAGAAUAGUGUCCAGCCCCUUAAAUACAGAUUGAAAGCUUCUCUUAUGAAAAAAAAAUCUGAGAAUCAUUUCACAUGCACCCUCCCUAAAAAUAAGGAAAAACAACAUAUUUUUCCAACCAAUUCGGGUUGUUGUCCCUUCUUCAAGUACUAUCCUAUUAUUUACAGCCCAUUUUCUUCUGAAUUUACCCUUUUCCACCCCCACCCCCCCAAAUUUUACCCAAUCUUCUUAGCUUAUUGCACUUUAAUCCUUUUCUAGAAGCUUCCUACAUAACUACCUAAGAUUCUCAAAAUCAAUUCCCUAUAUUGCCUUUCAACACUUUAGUAAUUACCCCUCUUUGUUCUUACCUUUUUCAAUACCUACUGCCUCUCUAAUACUUAAUAGAACAAAUAUCUACCACACAACUAACCAACCAGACUAGACUAAUAGUAAAUUAACAAAUCCAAAACUAAAGCCUGAAUCUAUUGAAUUAAUAAUUAACUAAACAUGCUAAUUAUACUAAUGAGCAAUUUAGACUAAGAAAACUCAGACAACAUGUAAUGCUGAAACCCUAAACUAAAAUAAAGAAAACAGAACUUUAAUGAACUAAAACGGUGAAGGCAUUAGAAAAGGGAAGGAUUAUACCUAUUUGAGUUAAUUCGGAAUAAUGACAUUGACCAUGGUGAGCUACAACUGAACCCUAGCAAAUAAAUGCGGAUUCUAGUGUGUAAGAGGAAUUGCUACAUUAGCAUUUGGCCGUCGAUUUCUCAUACGAGCCAAUGCUAUAUGUAGAAAUGCUAAUUGCGAGCCGAAUUUUUGAAAGGAGAUGAAGUUUCUUGAAAGCAACUUGGUCGGAAAGAUUUUGGUGACCAACAAAUGAACUAAAACUAAAAUCAAACAACGGAUUACCCAAAAACCAUUGCUUGAUAUAAGCUAAAGGCCGUAAACGAACCGGAGAAAGGACUGGGCGAUUUUUGGAUUUUACUUGAUUUCUCAGAUCUAAAAAUCGACGAAUUUGGUGGGGAUUUUGGGAAAGAUGAUGGUAGAUUAAAGACGGGGAUGAGGUGAGGAGUGUGGGGUAUGAAUUUGAGGGGGUUUGGAGUGGUGCCGCCGCCGUAGGGCGAUUUCCGACGGCGGCUCUGAGAGAGAAUGAAAGAGGUGAGAGAUGAGAGAUGAGGGGAAGCGGAAGUGUUCUCUAGGGUUUGGGGGGAGGGGGAAGAUUCGGACAGUUAUAAGGAGAUGGGGUGGUCAAUUCCUAGCCGUCAGAUUGACUUAGAUGAAGGGCUAUGAUCCUUUGUGACCAAAACGACACCUUUUGGAUUAUUAAAAUAGGACCGGGUAAAUCAAAAGACUGGGUUGGGGAUUUUAUGACUUUUGGGCCUCACCAUGAACUUGUCCAUAUGAAAUUUAAAGACCCAAACAAGCCUAUUUCUUUCUUACUUUGAUUUUAAGCUAUAGCCAAGUUAAUUAAAAUUUCAAAUUAAAUCCUAACUCAAAUCUAAUUUGUAAAAUUAAACCUACUUACCUAUUUUUUUUAACAAUUAACUAAUUUAAUUAACUAAUAAUGUAUGUAAAGUUACUAAUGUAUUUUUGUUGUUAUUUUCAUGUAUUAAUUCUACAAUUAAUAAGUGAUUAAUUCCUAAAAAUGCAAUUAAAACCUAAAAUAAUAAGGAAUGAAGAUUUGAAAGUUUUCUAGUUUUACUAUGAUUUUAAGAUAUUAAAUAUGCACAAAAAUGUAACUAAAUGCAAACAAACAAAUAAAUAUCAUUUCCUAGAAAUUCUAUAAAAAAAAAAAAAUAACUAGAUUUUUAUUUUUGGAUUUUGUAGGAGUAUUCUCGUAGUGCAAAAAUUACAUGCUCACACUCACAACACUUAGUUAAUCACCUGGUGGGGAAUUGGUUGAGUUGAGCAGGGACUUCCCAGAUGAGAGAUCUAGGGUUUAAACUCACUUUCAUACCUUUUCGAUCAAACUUAUCGUACGGGAUUUGCCUAGUACAGUUUACCCUCUUGUGUAAUUUGCGGACUAUUACACAAGAGCGGAGCUUACACUGUGAGCACUCGAAAGGUAACGAUCGCUNNNNNNNNNNNNNNNNNNNNNNNNNNNNNNNNNNNNNNNNNNNNNNNNNNNNNNNNNNNNNNNNNNNNNNNNNNNNNNNNNNNNNNNNNNNNNNNNNNNNNNNNNNNNNNNNNNNNNNNNNNNNNNNNNNNNNNNNNNNNNNNNNNNNNNNNNNNNNNNNNNNNNNNNNNNNNNNNNNNNNNNNNNNNNNNNNNNNNNNNNNNNNNNNNNNNNNNNNNNNNNNNGAUUCUUGUUAGAAAAAAAUACUUAGUUAAUCACAUAAUACUUCUCCUUUAUAUAACUCAUAUGUCCAUGCAACCAUCACGUAAAAGACUUCUAUUUAAGGAGAGAUACAGAUGUAUAUAUAUAGCCAUGGAUAUAUCUAUGACAAACUCACUCUCACUUACAAUAUAGAAUUUGUGAAAGCGCAAUGCACGUGAUAAGAAUUGUAGCUUAAUAAAUUAAGCGCUAGUAAACAAGUUAGAGCAGUUAAUUGAUUAGGAAAAAAAGAGGAAUGACUUUUACAAAUAUUUUAUUAGGUUGUGAUGAAAAAUGAUUAAUUAGAGCAUGUUCGGAAUAAAAUCAAUCUUAGUAGAUGUGGCAACUAAUGAUCCACUUGUAUAGAUUGGAGCUACCUUGUUAACUAUUAUUAGAGAGAAAAGAGAAAAAAAAUUUGAACUUGUCAAUGCACAAUUUUUUUUCUCGCUCUACAAAUGUUAAUAUAUUGUGUACAAGAAAGAGCAAAAUCUUAUAAAGUAAUAUUUAUUAUUCUCUUUAUCAAUUAAGAAGCAUUCUAUAGUCUUUCUCUCCCUUUUUCUCUCGAUCCCAAUUUUUGCUUUUGACUUACUCCCUUUAUUUCAAAUUAGAUGAGUUACUUUCCUUUGACUUAAAGGAUAAUCUUAUUCAUUUCUUAAUUUGUUAGGGUUCAUGUAACGAUCUAACCGGUCGUUUUGAGCAUUUACACUUCGUUCGGUAGUUUACGGGCGUGAGUAGCUCUGUAUGAGGUAUUUUGUCUUAUGUGAAUCGUCGGUUUUGGUUUUCAGGUUAUUCAGGACUGAUUUGGAAGAAUGAUUCUCAACUAGGGAGCUUUAAAUUUGAAAGAGUUGACCAAGUUUGAAUUUUUAGCAUUUGACCUCGGAUUGGAAUUUUGAUGAUUUCGUUAGCUCCGUUGGGUGAUUUUGGACUUAGGAGCGCGUACGGAUUGUGAUUUAGAGGUCCAUGAUUGAAUUUGGCUCGAAAUGGCGAAAGUUGAAAUUUUGGAGAGUUUGACCAGGAGUGGACUUUUUGAUAUUGGGGUCAGAUUCUGAUUCAGGAAGUUGGAGCAGGUCCGUAAUGUCGAUUGUGACUUGUGUGUAAAAUUUGAGAUCAAUUAGACGUGAUUUGAUAGGUUUCGGCAUCGGUUGUGGAAGUUUAAAGUUUCAAAGUUCAUUGAUUCGAGUUAAGGUGUGAUUCAUCGUUUCGAUGUUGUUAUGUAUGUUUUGAGGCCUCGAGUAGGUCUAUGUUAUGUUAUGUGACUUGUUGGUAUGUUAGGACGGGGUCCCGAGGGGCUCGGGCGCAUUUCGAAUCGAUUUCGGAUCAUUCCCUUGGAAUAUUUAUUAUGGUAUCCCAAGUCACCAGUUUAUUUUAAAAUCCCAAAUCGAGGAAAUAGACUCUAUUUAUGGUCCUCGAAUAUGGAAGACCGAGUAAGGAAUUAUGUUAAUCCAGGAGAAGGUGUGAGGCAUUCCCAAAUCCCAAGUUCCGUGGUUUUAGUACGGUCACAAUAAUUAUUAAUUGGCCUAAUUAUAUAAUUUAUUACAUGUUAAAAACCUUUUAUGUGUUGCCGUUCUAAUUAAUUUUUAAUCACUUUAUUAUUUAUAGGAUUUAUUUGAACAAGUCGCAUUGUCGCACUCGUUUGUUUUUGUACAUAUUGCGAAUCGCGUCACGUGAAACGCACCCGCGAUCUAAACAUGUUAAUUUUAUUAUUAUUUGUAGUUGAGGUCAAGUCGCGUGAAACGCGCACUUGAGUUGGGGUUUACAUAUCGUGACCAUGCCACGGGAACAGUACCCAUGGUCACGAGGAUUUAUUUAAACGCGCCUAAAGUAAACUCCGAUAUUUGUGAGUGAAUAUUUUAUUAGAUUCGAGAUUAUUGUGCAGGUCUAGAAUUAUGGGUGUUCAUUUGUUGGACAAAGUGUUCAUGAAUUUCAGAAAAUUACGAAAGCACACAAGCUUGUUGAGAGGUUUAGAAUUCGUUUGACAAUUAGUUGGGCUUAGUGAUCAUUUUCAUCCAUGCAUGUGAAUUUAUUUAGUGCUCAAGUCAUGGUGUUAAAGGCCUAAUUUCAACUUAUAAACCACUACGGGUCCUCUGAAAGGUACGAACAUAACAGCAUUGGGCUUGAAUGCUAAAAAAAUAGUGCACAUGACCUUUGCAAUAAGGCAGCUAGUCAUAUUUGAGCCUCAAACCAUUCAGAGCUUACUUGACUCUAAUGUUAUUAGAUUCAUGACUAUCAAAUAGAAGCAAACAUGAAAAUAUUGGCAAUGUUGACAUUCGUUCAUAAAUAUGAAUCAUCAUGCAUUUAAGAUUCGUUUAUUGCACUACUGAACCUAUUUCAAGCAUUUACACUAUUGGCCACCUUCAUAAUGAUAAUCAUUGUUGAUAUCAUCCCAAAUCACAAAAUCAUACAAAUAAUAAUGAGAAUCUGGAUUUAAUCUAGUGAUAAUUACAAGAAAGCAUAUUAUCAAUGAAUACUCGUGCUACAUGUGCAAAUUCCCUCUCAUUAAUGCUUUCUUUUUAAUUUACUACUUGAAAAUUGAUAAAUUUAUCAUACGCGAAAAUACCACUGUUGUUUCGAUCACAUCCUUCAGUUAACCAGCUUUAACGAACAAAAUGGACAGGCCUUUUGCUAAAGAUUUAACUAACAAUGGCCAAAUCUAUCACCUCUUGUAACAGGCUAUGAUUCAAUGCAAAGCCAUAGCUUGUUUACGGUUAAACAAAGGAACUUGAAUAACACUUGAUCAUAAACUCUAACACCUUAGCAUAUUUGGAGGUUCAUUUAGAAUUAGCAGGUUAAAUUGAAGCACAAGAGUACAUAAGACACUUGAUUAACCAUGGAUCAGCUUAUGGGAAUUCAAUUUAGGGAUUCAAAUCUGAUCAAUCUCAUAUGUGAUGCUUCCAAAUAUACAAGCAAAUUCAUGGUCUUGUACUAAACAGUUCAUAAAGUCACAUGAGAGUAACAAUAGAUCUG
rnacentral:lncRNA from 1 species